rnacentral:lncRNA from 1 species
UUCCACCCGAACCCAUCUUUGCCAUUCUCUCUGCACAUUUUCAAUUACGUAGCAGCGGCGGUAUAGCCCUUGAGUUUUCUCUCUUGAAGAAGAAGAAAAAAAUCCCUAUUGAAGGUAGUUUCGCUCUUUUUUCCUCUCUCUACGAUGACCCAAUUCUUACAAGCCAUUGUAUAUGUAGUCCAGGGAGUUCUCCGUCGGAAGAGGAAGAGCUCCACUGUAAAGGUAGUUUUGUUUCUUUUUAUUUUCUUAUAAUCAUACAUUAUCAAAACGAUUUUUCCCUAAUCGUAAAAGUUCAUGCCCUAACCCCUGAUUUAUGAAUCUAAAAGCAAAGCCCUAAUCCCCGAUUUAUGAUUCUAAAAUUCAAGCCCUAACCCCUGAUUUGUUAUUCUAAAAUUCAAUAUGUAUUUGUAUGAUAUAAAUAAUUCCUGUACGAUUCCACACUUUCCAGUCUUUAUCGAUCAUGUCCUUUUAAUUUUUCAAUGCAGACCCUUGUAAGAAACUGUGAAAAUAAUGUUUAUAAUGUGAUCUCAGUAGGUUCUUCUAGUAGUAGGCCUUCAUAUGGAUAUAAGUUGGGCAUUUGAAGUUCAUGUUAAGUGUCAAAAUAGGUUUUGGACAGAGGGAUUUUAGACUUCUAUUGUUUCAGUAAUGUAUAUGCCUAGCAAGAGCAAAGUUUUAAGGAUUUUCAUUUCAACAAGAAACAUGGCAAGAUGUUAGAGUUUAUUAUAGGAUUAUGUUUAUCCCUUAUCUUGUUUAGUUUUAGCAUAAGGUAUCGAAUUGAGAUUCUUGGCACCCAGUGGAGGCAAGAAUUAGUUUCCCAAUGAUUAUAUUCCAACAAUUGGUAGGCUCUUGAAGUACAUAUGAUUGGACCUUUUUAUUGGUAUUUUUUUUUUCUUAUCUUCUGCAACUUGUUUAUUUUUUGCAGGAGGUAUUGAAUUGAGAUUCUUGAUGCUAGGUAACAAAAAAAGAGAUGAAUAAUUUUCUCUUAUUAUUAUAUUCAAAUAUUUGGAAAGGCACUUGGAGUACAUAUCAAUUGACCUCUUUCAUU